CAUUGCCAAACUAUCCUCCAGAAAGUACAUUCUCCAAAUAAUAAUAGCAAAGGGUGUUUAGGAAAAUGCUGCUGAAUGAUUCACUGCAUAACAGACUAACGGGCUGAGAAAAGGGGCAAAAGAUCUGCAGAGUGUCAAAGUGAACUGGGGACGGCAGCAUGUGCAUGGAAAGGUAGAACUCAAAUGAAGAUCAAGACACUUGUGUGCAGGCAGGGGAAGAGACACCAGGGAC
rnacentral:lncRNA from 1 species